rnacentral:sRNA from 3 species
AUGUACCACGCGUACACGCCGGUUCCUGUGCGCCGUCCACGCCCACCUGACGACCGCUCGCUACGUUUUGUCAGCC